UGGAGUUCUGCUGCAGCUCCCCUCGCUGUGCCCGGCUUUGUUACCCUUCUGCGGAGCGCGCGUCCUCACCGCCCCCUCCUCCCGGCGCCCGCGUAGACGAGCCCGUUACCGCCUCCCCCUCCGGCGUAGUGGAAACUCCCGCCCCGGGAGCGGGCAGCCGGGGAGCCGGCGCCGGAAAGUGCCGGGCCUUUCACAGAGAGCUGGAUUGGAAGUGGAACAGCUGGAACUUGGGACAGUCACAUGAAAUGCCAGUGCUACAGGUGGAGAAUUAGCUUGCCGUGCCUGCCCCAAGCAUGGCCCCAUUUUUAAAGAUUGGAAGGAAGCAAUUUAGAAUGGAACUUCAAACUUGAGAGGAUGAAGAAGACACUGAGUGAAAAGAAGCUGAAUCCUUGAAAGACCAGGUGGAUCACAGCCUUCACGCUGCCCCCCACC